UGGAAACCAAUGUUACUGUUAGGAAACUAUUGAUUCUUUAGGUUGGCAUUCUGUAAUGUAAAUCGCUUGAUUUAAAUAAAGAAAAAAGUGUUUGACUGUUAGCACGGUUGGAAUUGUUUUCAUAUUUAUCUGUAUUUAAAGUUUUAAGAUGAAUAUUGAAGCGCCUAUUGUUGAUGUCAAAGUCUCUUACCUGUGGACCAGUGACCCUAGUAAGAUGUCAUGGGCCACCCCAUUGAACAUAGACAAUUUCAUAUGAAUUUUAUUAUUAAUAAGAAUCACAAUGAAAAUGCAUCAGUUAUUUCAAUACAAUACAUCAUGAAAAGGAUGGACAGAGGAUUAGAAAGUAUAUAUUCUCUCGGAUGAUUCCACCAUAUUAUUAAUAUGAAGGUCUUUUAUUGUUGUCAGUCCAGUACAUGAACCAGCACUGAUGUGAUGGGUUCGGGAAUGUAUAUUUAAAACUAUACCAAAACUCUGUUCGAAUACAUAGAGCCUGGAAGAAAUAGAGAUAGUAUUUGUAGUGUGUUGACAAGCAAUUGCACAUGAAAAUAUACCAGUGGUUGCACUUAAGUAACUAGCGCCAAUGAGGCUUUGAACGGUGACGUCAUCGGCGUCGGUCAGCGUCGUUAUAGUAAAACACGCCGUCUGCUCGCCAUUUUCCAGCUGAAUGGAAAAGUUGGAAAGUUUCCACAGUGUGGACACGCAUCUGCAUCGCAAAGGUAUCGGUGAGUAUGCAAAUAAACAUUGUUUUCGGCUCUUUACCAUUGUUUCCAUAUCACUUUAAUUAAGACGCCUGCGACGUCCGCAACAGUUUGUACUCUGACGACGACCACCUGUUUUUAC